UACGGGGGGAGCAAGCGUUGUUCGGAUUUACUGGGCGUAAAGGGCGCGUAGGCGGCGCAACAAGUCACUUGUGAAAUCUCCGGGCUUAACCCGGAGCGGUCAAGUGAUACUGUCGUGCUAGAGUGCGGAAGGGGCAACUGGAAUUCUCGGUGUAGCGGUGAAAUGCGUAGAUAUCGAGAGGAACACCGGCGGCGAAGGCGGGUUGCUGGGCCGACACUGACGCUGAGGCGCGAAAGCCAGGGGAGCGAACGGG
rnacentral:rRNA from 1 species